GCAAUCGAGAAAAAUAAAAUAGUCGACAGUGUUCCUAACACAGAAAGAUGAACACAUACAUUCAGAACAGAGUUCAAUCAUACCAAGUCAAAGAAAUAUACAAGUGGAUUGAGAAGUCUGGACUAUUUUCAGACAUGGACAGAAGCAGAAUGUAAGACUUUGACGCUAAAUGAGUGUGAGAGAGGAUCAAGUUUGUAGACAGCACCGGACCACACAAUCUUCCCCCAAAUCUCGCCUCCAUCGCCUCUCUCCACGGAAAUCUCAGCACACCAAUCAUGGGACUUAUCUCUCUUUACUUUCAAUAUUUUCUCACUUUCUAAUCCUAUCCUUCUAAUUUUAUUUAGAUGUCAAUCAUUGUGAAUAGGAUUAUGAGCCUGCUUAGUUGCAUUGGACUCCAAUUGGGUGAAUUGGCUAAGAAAUUUCGACAUGGUGCAUUCAUAUAAUUCGACUGCAACCUCUAUAAAGCUGGAAAACAUGAAUGAACAUACGCCUCUGUGGAUUGCACAGAUCUCUAUCUGCUUCUUUUUGGAUGAACGGAGGGAGAAAGACCUAGGCAUACUCAGUGAUCCCAUGAAUUUUGUGCUCCUAGGUACAUCAUUUGGGGCUCGUACAGUGUAGUUGUGAAUCUCACUAAGAUGCCAACGAGACCUUCCAAGAAAUCAGUUGCAUACCUGCUUGUUCGUGCUCCACUUCUUUGAAUCAGAUGGAUUGCAUGCAGAAUUUCAGACACUAUGCUCUCGUUGACCAGUGCUAAAUUAAGAGUCAGAUUCUGAUGAGGAAGUUUAGCAAGUAACUUGGCUGAAACAGCAUGCUUUUCUGUUAUUUGAUUUGCUUCUACUGGGCACUGGAUAAGAUUCUCUGGCUGACCUCUAGUUUUACAUAGUCUCUCUGAUAGCGUGUGACCGAUGUAGGGGGUAAGGGCUAUUAGAAGUUUUAAUGCUCCAACCCCUAAUUCGUCAUGAGGAUUGUUGAUGAGUUCUAUCAUGGCAAAGCUUGCGUCGGUUUCUUUGAUCACUGAGACGAUUGUUGCCAUCGCUCUAGGUGAUUUGGACAAGGAUAGGAGAAUCCUGAUCAAAUCAAUGUUAAGAUCAUCUGGGCUUGAGUUCUUGAGCAUGUGGAUGAUGUUGUAUACAAAGUAAUCCGAGCCUAAUGUGUGGCCAUGAGUAUUCACCUCAAAGGUCUCAUGUUCCAGCCCAGAUUCCAGUAUGUUUGCAAGUAUUGUAGCAGCUUCGUUCCUGGAGUUCAUCAGAUCACUAAACACUCGCUUCGUGAACAUUUCUUCGACCAUGAUCUUGAUGAUGCCGACCUCUACCAGUAUCUUGUUGUUGGGGUGAUACAAUGAAAUAUGAGCAAGAGCUUUGAAGGCGGCUCUUCUAGCGUCAAUAUUUUCACUUUGCACCAGCCCAAUGAGCGCAGGGCAAGCCUUCUCAGCUACAUAAGUUUUUUUCUCAUGUCCAAUAUCAAUUUCCACAAGGUAAUGCUUGUAUAGCAACUAUGCUUCAUAAACUUUGGAGAGAAAAGCAGUAAUGAAUUACCUUCUGCUAGAUGGCCCAGAAGAGGUUCCAAUAGUCCACUCUCUGCCAUUUGCUUGAUGUUCUCAGGACACUUCUCUAAAUUUCUUAAGAUUUGGUCUGAUGUUUCAGAUGCAAAGGAAUCCAACUCCCUGUUAUACUUUGCGGUAACUAACAUUAGUAUCGCCCCUCUAGCAGUCCCAAUCUUCUCACAUGCAUGUUGGGAUUUUGAAAGCUCAAGCAGUAAGGCUUGUGCUGCAUGUCUUACAGGCUGGUGACUGCUUCCCAAAAGUUUGAUUACGCAUGACAUAGUUAUUGUCUUCACAAUCAUUUCCUGUAAGACAACUUUGAAAUAUAAAAGUCUAUUGAAACAAGAAGUAGAACUGCUGUGUCUAGCUAGGACAAAUAAUCACAGCAGCGCAUAUCGUCUAAGGUAGUGUGCUAUUGCAUAAUAGGUAUGUGAAAGAGAUCCAACCUUUCCGUCAUCAGUUUCUUCAUCUGCCAGUGUCCUUAAGAACUUUAGUAGUUCAAACCUCACAUCUUUACUUCUGUACGUCAGGUAUCUAUCAAGCAGCUGAAUGAUCCCAGCUUCACGGACUUGUACCUUGUUGUACUCUUUCCCUUCACAGGUCAUUUGCAGAUCUCUUAACGCGUCGAUGACCAUACUUUCUGAACCGCCUAAGGAUAAAGCUGCAUGAGCCACUUUGAUUCUUGCUGCCUCGUUACGUACUUUCCAUUCCUGAAUGAUGGUUUUCAAGACAACAUUUGCACUUAAUUCAGUGGUCAACUUUUGACCCGUAACUGGACAGUUGAUCUCAUCGGAGUUUCCAAAACUGUCAAACCACUCUAUUACUGCUUGUCUUUCGCAGGUUACUCCUGUUUCUGUGGUGACUGGAUCUUCCAUUAUCUCUUUGGUCAACGGGCAGAUGAAAGCUUGGUAUGGAGGUUCCAUGAACUGUGUCACCUGUGGUAACAUUGACAAUGAUUCACUAAGAUUUCCAUACUUUCUCUGGCUGCUAGCAUUCGAGCUCUGGCUUGGGAUAUCUGGUAUUUCGGUACUUUGUGAUUGUGAUUUACUGAGAUUCCCAUGCUUUCUCUGGCUGCUAACAUUUGUGCUCUGGCUUGGGAUAUCUGGUAUUUCGGUUACUAGUGAUUGUGAUUCACUAUGAUUUCCAUGCUUUCUCUGGCGGCUAACAUCUGUGCUCUUGCUUGGGAUAUCUGGUAUAUCAGUCAUUUGUGAUUGUGAUUCACUAUACAUCAUGUAACUUUCAUAGGAAAAUUCAGGAUCAGUGGGAUAGAGGUCUUCCUCCAUUUGCUCAGACACAAUAUCCGGUGUAUGCUUUGCAGAAAUCUUCUGCUGCCCAUUGUUUAUCAUCUCACUUUUACUACCAUCUCCAAUGGUAGCAUUUUGCAUCUCAUUUGAAAGAGACUGAAUAACAACUCCUAUAUAUUCUUCCUCGUCGAAUGUUGAUUCAGGUAUGGACUGCAAAGUUUCACCCAUCUGCUUUACAACGCCUUCAAAACCUGCCUCAAUGCUUCUCAGAUCAGUAGUUGAUUCGGCUUCGUUGCUUUCUUGAGAUUUCUCAACCAGUUUCUUGGCAACAUCUACACUAUCGGAUAGUGAUUCAAAAAUAUCAAUUGAACAUAUGACGUUGCUCUCUGCUGUCUGUAUCUCCAUUAACACAACUGAAACUCGAUAAAAGUAGCAAGCGCAUUCGAGGAACCUCUCUGUUUCUGCUUGUAAGGACUCCAAGGAUGUGAUUACCUCAGAAAUGGACCUCAACAACGAUCCAAUUAGUGUAUCACUUGUGCCUAUAUCUUCUUCUUGACUCUGAGAUCACAUAAAUAGGGAGAAAGGUGAGAUUUCGUUGGUUUGAGAAUUUGAUGAUUCGAAAGAUACGAUCAAGAAUUUUUUUGAAGGUGCAAAAGGAAAAAAACAAGAGAAGAUUGAAGAAAGUCUUACCGACAUCCCAUUUGUUCAAAGCUGGUCUUGUCUUACUCUGCUUACCAAGUCUCCAACUGUAACUUCAUCAAGCAGAAGACUUGAAGGACACACUUGGUCCUCUGUUUCAGAGAAGUUGGAACCCACUAAAGGUAAAUUUGUUGCUCUGACGAUGAUUGAUGAGACGACUUUUUAGGAGGAAGUGGGGACACAGUAAAAUUCCAUAGGACUAUGUAAAGAAGUUGAAGGAGUCAAAUCAGAAACUCUGAUUCAGAGUACUUACUUUGUUAAGCCAUAUAAAGCCCCAAACAUUUUCUUUACGAAAACAUGUGUUUGGAUUUUGUUGACUUUGUUUGUUUCUUCUUGCACUAUCUCUCUGCAGAUUGGUCAGACCACAAACCAAAAGGUGAAUGAAUGAUGAUGGUUAGAGAAAGUUGAUCUGAAACUUCUUGUGGUUUGAUUUUUGACAUUUUCCUGAUAUUUAAAUGUAGUUUGUUUAAAUAAUAGAAGGAUUCGGUAGGUACUGUCCAAUGUCACUAUCUUGCUUUCUUUUAUGGGUAAUUUAUUUAAAGAUAAAAUCUUGAAUUGGUAAAAAGAUAUGCCAUUGGAUCACAUUGACUUGUAUAUAU
rnacentral:lncRNA from 1 species